UUACACAACAAAAUAUGAAGGCCUGGCUUUCGCGGCCGGAUGAAGUAUUUUUUUCACCCAUGUCUUUUGCGCACUUGUUGUUUCCUGGGCGGGUUCGCCCGCCACCAGGACCAAACCAUAAACCUUUUUUUCUUAUGCAGUUUCCAUCAGCGUCAGUAAAAACAAUGUAAUUAUUACAACUUUCAACAACGGAUCUCUUGGUUUUGGCAUCGAUGAAGAACGCAGAGAAAUGCGAUAUGUAGUGUGAAUUGCAGAAUUCAGUGAAUCAUCGAAUCUUUGAACGCACAUUGCGCCCUUUGGUAUUCCAAAGGGCAUGCCUGUUUGAGCGUCAUUUGUACCUUCAAGCUUUGCUUGGUGUUGGGCGUUUUUUUGUCUCCCUCUUUCUGGGAGACUCGCCUUAAAACGAUUGGCAGCCGGCCUACUGGUUUGGGAGCUCAGCACAUUUUUUGCGUUUUGUAUCAGGAGAAAAGGACGGUAUCCCAUCAAGACUCUACAUUUUUCACUUUUGACCUCGGAUCAUGUAGGGAUACCCGCUGAACUUAAGCAUAUCAAUAAGCGGAGGAA
rnacentral:rRNA from 1 species